rnacentral:rRNA from 1 species
CCUACGGGAGGCAGCAGUGGGGAAUCUUGCACAAUGGGGGAAACCCUGAUGCAGCGACGCCGCGUGAGCGAUGAAGCCCUUCGGGGUGUAAAGCUCUUUCGGCUGGAACGAUAAUGACGGUACCAGCAGAAGAAGCUGCGGCUAACUACGUGCCAGCAGCCGCGGUAAUACGUAGGCAGCGAGCGUUGUUCGGAGUUACUGGGCGUAAAGAGUGCGUAGGCGGUGCGGUAAGUCUGGUGUGAAAUCUCCCGGCUCAACUGGGAGGGUGCGCCGGAAACUGCCGUGCUGGAGUGUGGGAGAGGUAAGCGGAAUUCCUGGUGUAGCAGUGAAAUGCGUAGAUAUCAGGAGGAUCACCUGUGGUGUAGAUAGCUUACUGGACCAUAACUGACGCUGAGGCACGAAAGCGUGGGUAGCAAACAGGAUGAGAUACCCGCGUAGUC